GCCAUACCCAGUGGCAUGUGAUGCCCACUUUCCACCUACUGUUGCUUGUGGUCCAUGGGGCAAAAAUACCUAGUGCAUAGGAACAUUCAACACUAGAUCUGCUCAAAGUAGACCCAUUGAUGUAAGUAACUUACUCAUUUGCAGAGCAUUUCUUCUGAGUGCAUUUCUUCUUUUAUUUAGUUUAAUAAAAUCCAUUGAUAGCUAUGAAUAAAUUCAUGUAACAAUAAACUUAGUUCAUGUAACCUAGGCUUUAUAUAAAGUGCUUUAAUCUAUUAUCCAUCCUAUCACUUGCUAGGCAUUGUACAGAAUGCAGAAGUGAUAUGGAUUCCUUGACCCAAAAGCUUAUACUUGGGUCUGAGUCACAAACAUUCAAGAGUUUCCAUCAUAAAAAUCAAACCCACAGCUUUGAGUGACCAGCCACAAGCCCAGUGUAAAAUGUUAGAGAAUAGAUCCUAAGUACAUAGCAAUGAGGAUAGAAGCUGAGAAUUAUUAAUAAAUUAUUAUUAUAUUUUUAUCCCACCCUCAUAGGAGUUUAGGGAAGUGUAUUGUUUCCUGCCACUGGCUUUAUUCUCACAAUUACCCUGCUGGUUAUAGUGGUAUCUUCAAGAUUAAUUUAUUGUGGCAUAAGACUUUGUGGUGUAAGAGUUCAUCAGAGCCUAUACUGGAAGACAUACUGUAUACACAGUUCUGGAGGUAGGCAUAGGGAGGAGUGAGGUCAGAAGAAAGUGAUAUUUAUAAAGGACAGAUGGUGACAAAUAAAAACAUUUACAUGGUUCCAUUGGUGCAAUUCACAAUGUGCUGUUGGUGAUAACACUGAAACUCGCUGGCAUAGGUAAGCUUUCAUAUAUGAAGUAGAAUUAAAACCCAUAAUCUCAAUUCAGACCACAGGUGAUAGAAAUGAAUUUCCUGAUAAACUGAUUUUAUGCUGGAGUUUCCCUUUGAUGUUUCAUUGAUUCAGAAUGGCUACUUGAAGGCUAGCGGCAUUCUGUAAGGCUAAAAUGGCCUCUUUUGAAGUCUGUCCUUUCAGAUGUCUGACUUGUGUUCAUUUAUUCUUUUCCAUGGAGGCUGACCAGUUUGUCAUUAGUGGGACACAGAAGGGCAUUCACUGCUGAUAGAUGAUGAUGUAUGUCACAAUGGAAGAUGAGCAGGUAAACCCUCUGCUGUUGCAGCUGACUUUAUUAGAUAUGAGGUCAGAGUUGGCAUCUAGUUGUGUCUCUGUUAUGUGGCCUGUUGUUGCUGGUAAAGAGCAUUUUUAAGUUAGUCUCCAAGCAAGAAUGGCCCUAUACCUGAGACCUGUAAAGGGAAAAGUGCCAUUGUCUGGGAUGGAUUGUAGAUCAUUGUAGUUCAUAGGGCCUUCUCUGCAGUGGCACCCAUACUGUGAAACUAUCUCCCUUUAAGAGUUAUGAAUAAUUUGUUAGUUUUGAUUAAUUUUAUUUCAUGAAAAUUAUAUAUAUGACUUGAUUGUAAGAAAACCUCUAAGCAGUUUACUGUGCAACUUACAGUUUACUGGACCAGAGAGGUGAUCAGUGCCUCUUUACAAGAAGGGGUGGUCCCUGCCUGUUUGAAGGAGGAAGUGGUAAAACCACUCCUUAAGAAACCUUCCCUGGAUUUGGAAAACCUAACUAACUACCAGCCAGUUGCUAAUUUCCCUUUACUGAGCAAGGUUCUGGAGUGAGUGGUCGCAGAUCCAGGUGCUUUGGGAAGAAAUAGAUUUUCUAGAUCCAUUUCUAUCGGUAAAGUAAACCCACUAUGUAUAUUGGUCUAGGCUUUAAAAUUAUGGAAGUUGUGGUGACAUUUCUUGAGUGCCACCUGUCUACGAGGUCAGAUAAAAUUGUCAUCAAUGCAUCUGACCUCUACAUUGUCACCCAGUUAACUCCAUGGCUGAAUGGCAGUUUUAACUUGUGUCUACACAGUCUGAAACUGGCACUCUAGUCACUGCUAUAAAUUUUGACUCUUAAUUAAUUUACAGAGUCUGUAGUUGCUGUUUCUCAGUGAUUAAUCAUGUUUUUGUUUAAUAUGGUGUAUAGGGUUUGGAUGGUAGAGAGUAUUUUGGUGGCCUUUAAAUCUGUUUUAAAAAGGUUAAUAUUUUAAGCAGGGAGAAGACUACAGCCAACAAAUGACUCAUAAGAACUGUGGAAGUUUUCAUCUUGAUAUGGUGCAAUAAUCUGUGUUCUCAGUUGAAGAAUGUAGCGGAGUUGAGUUUCCAGUGUCAAGUUCUUCAGGGAAGGUGAAGUGGUGUUCUGAAGCUUCAUGAACCAUGUCUGUGCUGAAUAUACUGACAGAACUAAGCAAACAUGAAGUCAUCCUAAUUACUGAUGAGCAAAGGGACAUUUUUCCACUGCAUUCCUUUCCCCUUUUUAUAAAAGGCAGGAUGCUAUUGUUGUAGCUCUGAGAGCCCCCAGGCUGCUCAGAAAACAGGCAAAAAAAUCAAUAACCCACUUGUUGAGGAUAAGUGAAUUAGCUUGUGUUGAAUGUAACCGAGUACCUGAACACUUCACUGAGCAGCUUUGGUUUUGUGAGAAAAGAGAAUUGUAAGGAUUGUCUUGCUGUGGCUGGGACUGGUGCUGAUUUCUGAUUAAUCAUGCCAAAUAAGGAGGAGUUGCCUGUUUAUCCUGGGUACUAAUGUGGGAUUUUGUUCUCUUUCUCUAUCUUUCUUUGCACAGUUCAGCUCUCUGAGCAGAAUUAUCUCUAGUCCAAGCUUCAUUAUUAAAUGCCUUGGUAAAAAUAAAAACCUCAUAGAAAGAGCCAUGGUAUAAAUUAAAAUUAUGUUGUACUGCAUUUAACUACAGACCAGAUCCUGCAGUCCAACUUUCUUUUUCUCACUGAUUAGUAUCUGUGGGAAAGCUGUAGCCAGGAUGAACAGUAUGUCCUUGUCUUAGGUGUUAGUCUUGAAUGCAUCCUCCCUCUGCUGCCAGUUUCAUUGUUGGUUUGAUCUUGAUUGUGUGUUUGGGUAGGGGUGGAAUCCUAUGCAAAGAGAUUGCAUGAAAAGCUGGGAACAUUUCAAAAGUCAGUGCUCUGUUGGCUCUAAAGCAAAGGCAGAUAGGCUUUGAAUGGUUUUAUGGCAACCAAAGCCAGUUUGUGGAAUCAUUUCAGUAAAUAACAUUUAACAAAAGUUAAUCCAGGUAAACUGUCUCCUACAAGAUGUUCAGACCAAGCUAC